rnacentral:rRNA from 1 species
CCUACGGGGGGCUGCAGUAAGGAAUAUUGGUCAAUGGACGAAAGUCUGAACCAGCCAUCCCGCGUGCAGGAUGAAAGCCCUAUGGGUUGUAAACUGCUUUUAGCAGAGAAGAAAAGCUUUCAUUAAUGAGAGUCUGACGGUAUCUGCAGAAUAAGCACCGGCUAACUCCGUGCCAGCAGCCGCGGUAAUACGGAGGGUGCGGGCGUUAUCCGGACUUAAGGGGUCGUAAGCGUGGGAUUAAGUCAGUGUUGAAAUCUUGUCGCUUAACGAUAGAAUUGCCAAUGAUACUGGUACUCUUGAAUUGGGUUGAGGUUAGCGGAAUGUGACAUGUAGCGGUGAAAUGCAUAGAUAUGUCAUGGAACACCAAUUGCGAAGGCAGCUAACUGGGCCUUGAUUGACGCUGAGGCGCGAAAGCGUGGGUAGCGAACAGGAUUAGAUACCCGUGUAGUC